rnacentral:rRNA from 1 species
GACACGCUGGCGGCGUGCCUAACACAUGCAAGUCGAACGGAGAUACUUUUGAAGCUUGCGAUAGAGUAUCUUAGUGGCGGACGGGUGAGUAACGCGUGGGUAAUCUGCCCAUAAGCGGGGGAACAACAGUUGGAAACGACUGCUAAUACCGCAUAAGCUGCCCUUGGGCAGUAAAGGAGGCCUCUUAAUAAAGCUUCCGCUUAUGGAUGAGCCCGCGUCUGAUUAGCUAGUUGGUGGGGUAAAGGCCUACCAAGGCGACGAUCAGUAGCCGGCCUGAGAGGGUGAACGGCCACACUGGGACUGAGACACGGCCCAGACUCCUACGGGAGGCAGCAGUGGGGAAUAUUGCGCAAUGGGGGAAACCCUGACGCAGCGACGCCGCGUGAGCGAAGAAGGCCUUAGGGUUGUAAAGCUCUGUUUUAGGGGACGAAUGUUCAUAGGAGUAAUAUGCCUGUGAAAUGACGGUACCCUAAGAGGAAGCCCCGGCUAACUACGUG